GUGAGAGUGACAGGGGAGGGAGGGGAAAUGAGAGUGGGAAGGGGGAGGGGAGAAGAGAGUGACAAGGGAGAGGGGGGAGAAGAGAGUGACAAGGGAGGGAGAGGGGGGAGAAGAGUGACAUCCAUCACACACACAUGCAAUGCACCCCUUGCACACAGAAAAACACACAAUGCAUUACACACACAGACACAGACACACACACACACAAACAAUGCAACCCUUACACUCAAUGCACCCCUUACACACGCACACACUGCAUCCUGUGCAUACACAGAAACACACCUUGCAGCCCUUACACAUACAAACACAGAUUCACACAAUGCAUUCCUUACACACAUAUCAGGACAUCCCCUACACACUCCACCCCCUGUAAACAAUCUCAUUGGUGGAACAUGAAGGUGGACCCUGGAACCCAGACCUUGAGCUGUGUAAAGGGCCCCCAAAAAAUGGAGCUGCUUCCCGUUCUCCCAGAACAUUGAUUUUUGUGACCACAGUUACAAACAGCCUCCAGAGAGCCUGUUCUACACCAGACCAGUGGAGCCAGACUGCAGCUAGAGCCCAUCAUCAUCCUCAUCUCGUUGUAAGUAGGCAAUCUAGUAUAUUAUUCGUGGCACUAAUAUCUAAUUUACCUCACAUUAAAGAAACACUAUAGUCCCCAGAACCACUGCAGCUUAAUGUAGUUGUUCUGGUGUCUAUAGCCUGUCCCUGCAUGCCUUAUAAUGUAAACACCGCGGCACUGCAGCACUGGCGUUAGUUAACAUGGCAGAUCAUAUGGGCGGAGCAUUAUGAUGUAACAUGGGGGGGGGGGCGGCAAACUUUACUUUUGCCUAGGGCGGCAAAAAUCCUUGCACCCGGCC